AUGAACGCUAGCGGCAGGCUUAAUACAUGCAAGUCGUGGGGCAGCAUGUCCCGCAGCAAUGCGGGAUGAUGGCGACCGGCAAACGGGUGCGGAACACGUACACAACCUUCCUAUAAGUGGGGAAUAGGCCAGGGAAACUUGGGUUAAUACCCCGUAAUAUAUAGAAGCGGCAUCGCUUUUAUAUUAUAGCAGCAAUGCGCUUGAAGAUGGGUGUGCGGCNGAUUAGAUAGUUGGCGGGGUAACGGCCCACCAAGUCGACGAUCGGUAACUGGUGUGAGAGCACGACCAGUCACACGGGCACU
rnacentral:rRNA from 1 species